AUUGAACGCUGGCGGCAUGCCUUACACAUGCAAGUCGAACGGCAGCGGGCCUUCGGGUGCCGGCGAGUGGCGAACGGGUGAGUAAUGCAUCGGAACGUGCCAUUGAGUGGGGGAUAACGUAGCGAAAGUUGCGCUAAUACCGCAUAUUCUGUGAGCAGGAAAGCAGGGGACCGCAAGGCCUUGCGCUCUUUGAGCGGCCGAUGUCAGAUUAGCUAGUUGGUGAGGUAAAGGCUUACCAAGGCGACGAUCUGUAGCGGGUCUGAGAGGAUGAUCCGCCACACUGGAACUGAGACACGGUCCAGACUCCUACGGGAGGCAGCAGUGGGGAAUUUUGGACAAUGGGGGCAACCCUGAUCCAGCCAUGCCGCGUGAGUGAAGAAGGCCUUC
rnacentral:rRNA from 1 species